UACGUAGGUGGCAAGCGUUGUCCGGAUUUACUGGGCGUAAAGCGCGCGUAGGCGGCUUUGCAAGUCGGGUGUGAAAUCCCCAGGCUUAACCUGGGAACUGCCUUUGAAACUGCAAGGCUUGAGGCCGGGAGGGGGUAGCGGAAUUCCCAAUGUAGCGGUGAAAUGCGUAGAUAUUGGGAGGAACACCAGUGGCGAAGGCGGCUACCUGGACCGGUCCUGACGCUGAGGCGCGAAAGCGUGGGUAGCAAACAGG
rnacentral:rRNA from 1 species